ACCCUCCAGAUGCCCUUCCCCUCAGACCUAAUCAUUGGUCUAAGUGACUGUACAAUGAGGGAAAGUAAAACUGAAACAGAUUUGGGGUUUUUCUGUGACAUACAAUU
rnacentral:snoRNA from 1 species